CAGCAGCCGCGGUAACACGUAGGGUGCGAGCGUUAAUCGGAAUUACUGGGCGUAAAGCGUGCGCAGGCGGUUAUAUAAGACAGAUGUGAAAUCCCCGGGCUCAACCUGGGACCUGCAUUUGUGACUGUAUAGCUAGAGUACGGUAGAGGGGGAUGGAAUUCCGCGUGUAGCAGUGAAAUGCGUAGAUAUGCGGAGGAACACCGAUGGCGAAGGCGAUCCCCUGGACCUGUACUGACGCUCAUGCACGAAAGCGUGGGGAGCAAACAGGAUUAGAUACCCGCGUAGUCCCUGUCUCUUAUAC
rnacentral:rRNA from 1 species